ACAUUCACCUGGCAGUCAUCGCCCUUGUGGGAGGCCUACAAGCCGUAGGAAGAUGCCCUGAGCCAGGAUGCAACUCCCCAGAAGCUGAGCAGAGCACACAGAUCUGGUCAAGCGGUCUGUGGGAGAUCAUUUUGACAGGAGUCCUCGUCUCUCUUGAGGUCUGCUGCCACCCGUUAUAUGAAAAAGGUCAGAAGAUGUUCCCAUGACACAUACUCUCUGAUAGUCAUCUGUGACGGGCUGGACAUCACUACUGCUGGUCAUCUGUGAUGGGCCGGACAUCACUAUUGCUUUGUGACUUGAAGCAUUCGAUGAAACCAUAAUAUUUACUGCUGCACAUUUGCUCACUGUUGGUGUAAUAUAUUUCGAAGCAGCAAUCCUGCUCUGAUGGCAAGGAGAAGGGAGACACCAGGAAGGGAACGUGUCAAGGUUUAUUCGGUGUGUCAGCUAAAAAGGGCAACAAGCAACUCACUGGUUUCUAGAAUACCCUUGUGAGUGAAGUGAAUUACACUGAAACUUGUUUUCAAAUAAAGAAAUUGCUACUUGAGAAAGCAACCUCAUGGCACUGGGGAUAAAGACUAACAAAUAAUAAUAAUAGUCAUGAUGACAGCCAUGACAAGAACAGCCAGGUGGUUGUGCUUACUUGCUCCCAGGUGUCUUACUGCAGUGGCCAUGCUAUCUCUUCUGGGCAUUCACCAUUGUCAAGGACAAUGACCCCCGUGAGAGAAGGGCAUCUCUCUCUUCCCAUUCAGCCCUUUUCCUCAGCCUGAAGACUGUGGACAAAUAAACAAUUAGAACUUUUGACUUCAGUAGCAACUGGCCUGAAACUAAAAAUAUUUCAUACUUGGCGACUGGUGUCCAUCAGACUGUGGAAGACAAAGAGAUGCAUCCACUAUUUACCAUUCUACCCCCAGCCCAGAGACAGUCCCUGGAAUAAACCCAGUGGAUCCCAGCCUUCCCUCCUGUCGCAAAAAGGAAUAAAAUUAAAUUGGAAAGAAGGA